UUUAAUUAUUAUUUUUUUAUGUUUUUUUAUUUUUUAUACAAAUUUAUAUCACUCAUUUCUUUUUUUAUCUUUUUAAGUAUGAGAACGUAUGUUUUUUUAAAGCAUGUUAUAGUACAUGCACGUGUACAUAAUUCAUAAAUUAACUGAUCGCAUGAUAUUUUUUAAAAAAAUAAAAUAAAGAGAAAGGAGAUGAAUUAUAAAAUGUGAAACGCUGAACAUAACUUUUUUUUUUAUACCAAAUUAAGUAUUAAAAAUAACAUAUUUUUAAAGGUGUCAUUUAUUAACAUAUAUAAUUUAACAAAUAUAGGCACAUGUAAAUAUAUAUAUGUGUACUAUAAGUAUAUGCACAAACGUUACUAGUUUAUAAACAUGCAUUUAUACCUUAUAAAUGAGUAUAUAAAAAAAAAAAAAAAAAAAAAAGUGUCUUUACCAAUUUUUAAUAACAUAUACACAUAUAUGUACAUACCUAUGUUCGUAUAUGUGUAUACCUUAGAAAUGGACUGGUGUUAAAUACAACAAUGCAUAUAGUACUAGUCUUGCUUAAAUGCUUCAUAAAAAAAUACUGUAGUCCGAAAUACAUAAAAAGUCUUAAAAAUGUAUUUAUAGAUCAAUUAGGACGUUUUAUUAUUCAAGAGCUAGAAUUACAGCAAUAUACUUUUGAUUGUAAAAAUCGGUCAGCACCCAUAAAGAAGUGCGAUAUAGCUUUUAACAAUGUAAACUCUAGGGGAAGAAACACAAAACGUAAAAAUACAUAUUUUCAAAAGAAUACAAAUGCAACCUUUGACCAUCACAAAUUUAACAGUUUUAAUAACGACUCUAAAAAUAACAUCGACACAUAUUUAUCUUAUUUAAAUUUGUUAAAAAGUAAAAGAAAUGAUAUCUUUUUUAAUAUUCUUUUUUUUGAUAAAAUAGAAUUAUUUUUGAAUGACACUAAAAGUGGGAGUAGGCUUUAUAACGGUAUAGCUAUAUAUAUUGAAAAUGUUUUUAUUAAUGUAAAAUUAAAAACUUCCCUUGAAGACGAGAAAAGUAGUUGUAGUUUGCAAAGGGUUGGACGUUUACCUUUAGAACUAUGCAUAAGGAGUAACGAAAUGAUAUUAAAAGGGAAAUCUGUUGAUGUUGCUAAGGUUAAUGAUGUUGUUAAGGUUAAUGAUGUUGUUAAGGUUAAUGAUGUUGUUAAGGUUAAUGAUGUUGUUAAGGUUAAUGAUGUUGUUAAGGUUAAUGAUGUUGUUAAGGUUAAUGACGUUUCACCGGUUAAUGACGUUGCCACGGUUAAUGACGUUUCACCGGUUAAUGACGUUGCCACGGUUAAUGACGUUUCACCGGUUAAUGAAGUUUCACCGGUUAAUGACGUUUCACCGGUUAAUGAAGUUUCACCGGUUAAUGACGUUUCACCGGUUAAUGAAGUUUCACCGGUUAAUGACGUUUCACCGGUUAAUGACGUUUCAACGGUUAGUGCUGUUUCAAAAUACAAUGAACACAAUAAUGACACAUGUAUUAACACAUACGAUAUCAUACCAAGUGGUACAAAUCGUGAAAAGCACAGAGACAUACAAGAACAACACAAGAACACACUUUUAUUUUUGGUUUUUUUCGCAGUUUUUUAUUUUAAUUUUCUUAAAGAUAAAAUGCUAAACAUGAUGCUUUUUUUUGCUAGUUAUAUUAGCCAGUUUGUUAAAAGCUCAGGUAUUUUAAAUUUUUUAAGAAAAUUAUUUUUUAAUAUGUUAUUUAAAUAUGCUUUAUGUAUAGACAUAAAAAAUGUAAAUAUUAUUUUUGAAGACACGUUGUAUUAUGGACAUAAUAAAAAUUGUUUUUGUUCAAUUUAUAUGAACAGUGUACAUAUAGAUAAUAAAAAUUAUAUAAAAAGCAAAAAAAGACAUAAACGUAGAAGAGUAAAAUUGGGUAAUGCGAAUCGGUUUGACAGUAGUGACGACAGCAUUGACAACGGCAUUGACAACGGCAUUGACAACGGCAUUGACAACGGCAUUGACAACAGCCUUGACGACAGUAGCAGCAGUAGCAGCAGUAGCAAUAAAAACCAAAGAAAUAAUAAAAAUGAAUAUUUAGAAUUUGUUAAGAUUAAAAUAGGUGGUAUGAGCCUAUAUCAGGAUGAUCGUAAUGAAUUGAUAAGCAAAAGUAAUAUACAUUUAAACAAAAAAAAAUAUAAAUAUUUUUUUUUAUAUAAUAUAAAUAAAUUUCACACACGAAAAAGCUGUCUACUUGAAAAGACUCAUUUGAAAUGUGUUAUAUUAAAGCAUGCCAAAAAAAAAAAAUAUACUAUAAAUAUAAAAAUUUAUGCAGUUAAUUUUAAUUUUUAUCAUAAUAAAAUAUAUGCUCUUCUAUUAUUUUGUUAC
ensembl:lncRNA